UCGACAUCGAAAAUAUCUCUCUUUGAUAUUUUAAGGACGGACUCCAAUCAGAUUCUAUUGGAUCUUGAAUGUAGAAACAUUGUUGAGCCUGAUUUGCCAAAAUAAAUGGUUCCUUUCCAAAUUUUCCUCGUGUCGUGUUUGUUGGAUCUGGAUCAGAGGCCAGGCUUGGGGGGGGGGUGUAAUAGCCUUUUUUUCGUGAUUUCUCAAAAGAUGUGCGGAAUACCUGAGAAUACAAGUUAAGCGCAAGGAUAUGUAUAUAAAGAUAGUCUGUUCUUUAUAAGUUACUGCAGUAUAUAGAUACUGAGUCCACUUAUAAGAUUGUGACUUUUAUAUAACUGUAGUAUAUGAAUACUAAAUUAUAUAGACACACGUUAAGAAUAGAUGAAUAAAUAUAUAUUCUAACUUAAUAAAGAUGCUUUUUAAGCUAACUCUAGUAUAUGAAUACUGAGUUCUCUUAUAAGCGAAUAAAUAAUAUAAGUUAAAAUAUAUAGGUAUACGUGAUCAGAUGAUUGGAUAUAUUUGUACUGAAUAUAACCUCAGUCAAUGACCAGAUAACUGGAUGAGGGAUCUACACGAAAAUAGUCAACUUCAGUCUAUGACUAGAUAACUGGAUGAGGGAUCUCUUUUUAGUUGUUUUUUUAUCUUGUUAGAACUAGAAAAAAGGAAAGUAAAAGAGAUAUUGAGAUUUUUAUACUGGUUCACCCAAACAAGGGCUAAUCCAAUUUCGAUAAAACACGGAGAUCACUAGCCUGAAGGUAAUGGCGAAACCUCUGCCAAACUUUAAGGCUAAACACUUGUGAACCACCUAAGAGUAUUCAGGAACUCUUAAAAAACUUCUGUUAAGCUUUAAGGCUAAACGCUUGUAAACCCUCUAAGAGUAUUAAGGGACUCUUAAGAACCUCUGUCAAGCUUUAAGGCCAAACGCUUGUGAACCCUAUAAGAGUAUUAAGGAACUCUUAAAAACCCUUGAACCUUUAAGGUAAAUUCGACAUAAGAGUUUUCCUGAAAACUCUAUAGAACCACACCGAGUUUUAUGGUUGAACUCGUUGAACCUUACAAGUGUUGAUAUUAAGACACGCCUCUCACAACACUUGAACCACUUACAAGAUGUAAAGCUUUUCUUCUAACACACUCUCAACGUACAAGAGGGGAAGAAGAAGAAGUUGAAGAACUAGAGCACACAACCUUGAGAGCAAACUCCCACACAAAGCUUGAACGAGAGCUAGAGCUUGAGCAAGAGCAAGAGAGAACGAAAGUAGAGCUUUGAUCCAAGGAGAGCUUUAGCAAAGAUGGCAAGUGAUGACUUAGCUCUUGGGUGUGCACUUCCUUUUAUAGUGGAC
rnacentral:lncRNA from 1 species